rnacentral:rRNA from 1 species
AUUGAACGCUGGCGGCAGGCCUAACACAUGCAAGUCGAGCGGAUGAAGGGAGCUUGCUCCUGGAUUCAGCGGCGGACGGGGGAGUAAUGCCUAGGAAUCUGCCUGGUAGUGGGGGGUAACGUCCGGAAACGGGCGCUAAUACCGCAUACGUCCUGCGGGAGAAAGAGGGGGAUCUUCGGACCUCACGCUAUCAGAUGAGCCUAGGUCGGAUUAGCUAGUUGGUGGGGUAAAGGCCUACCAAGGCGACGAUCCGUAACUGGUCUGAGAGGAUGAUCAGUCACACUGGAACUGAGACACGGUCCAGACUCCUACGGGAGGCAGCAGUGGGGAAUAUUGGACAAUGGGCGAAAGCCUGAUCCAGCCAUGCCGCGUGUGUGAAGAAGGUCUUCGGAUUGUAAAGCACUUUAAGUUGGGAGGAAGGGCAGUAAGUUAAUACCUUGCUGUUUUGACGUUACCAACAGAAUAAGCACCGGCUAACUUCGUG